rnacentral:lncRNA from 1 species
GGCGCAGCCUCUCCCUCUCCCUCUAAAUGAGCCUUUCCUGUAGUUCGUCGUAGUAGUGUUUGGCGAAGCCCUGCCGGGACGGCUCCACCACCAUCGCCGCCACACCGUUGUGCUGCCAGAGAACUCAUCUACCUCUCCGCGCUCGCUUGCUGGAUCAAGGAGGCAGAGAACGUCAUCGAGCUGUAUGUGUGUUGAAAGCGGAGGUGUCGUCCGUUCGACACUAGACCAGGAUGGAUCGUAAUGGGAUCGCGGGACGGAUUGUGAUUUGGAUCGCGAAGACGUUCGACUACAUGAACCACGUUAUAUACGCUUCCGCUUAGCGAUCUACAAGGG